rnacentral:rRNA from 1 species
GACGAACGCUGGCGGCGUGCUUAACACAUGCAAGUCGAACGAUGAACCGGCUUCGGCUGGGGAUUAGUGGCGAACGGGUGAGUAACACGUGGGCAAUCUGCCCUGCACUCUGGGACAAGCCCUGGAAACGGGGUCUAAUACCGGAUAUGACCUGGUGAGGCAUCUCAUUGGGUGGAAAGCUCCGGCGGUGCAGGAUGAGCCCGCGGCCUAUCAGCUUGUUGGUGGGGUGAUGGCCUACCAAGGCGACGACGGGUAGCCGGCCUGAGAGGGCGACCGGCCACACUGGGACUGAGACACGGCCCAGACUCCUACGGGAGGCAGCAGUGGGGAAUAUUGCACAAUGGGCGAAAGCCUGAUGCAGCGACGCCGCGUGAGGGAUGACGGCCUUCGGGUUGUAAACCUCUUUCAGCAGGGAAGAAGCGAAAGUGACGGUACCUGCAGAAGAAGCGCCGGCUAACUACGUGCCAGCAGCCGCCGUAACAC